AACCUAGCACACCUGCGGUGUGUACCUGCGGAGGGAUCAUUACCUAGAGUUGUAGGCUUUGCCUGCUAUCUCUUACCCAUGUCUUUUGAGUACCUUACGUUUCCUCGGCGGGUUCGCCCGCCGGUUGGACAAAACUUAAACCCUUUGUAGUUGCAAUCAGCGUCUGAAAAAACUUAAUAGUUACAACUUUUAGCAACGGAUCU
rnacentral:misc_RNA from 1 species